GACGAACGCUGGCGGCGUGCCUAAUACAUGCAAGUAGAACGCUGAAGGAGGAGCUUGCUUCUCUGGAUGAGUUGCGAACGGGUGAGUAACGCGUAGGUAACCUGCCUGGUAGCGGGGGAUAACUAUUGGAAACGAUAGCUAAUACCGCAUAAUAUUGACUAUUGCAUGAUAGUCAGUUGAAAGGUGCAACUGCACCACUACCAGAUGGACCUGCGUUGUAUUAGCUAGUUGGUGGGGUAACGGCUCACCAAGGCGACGAUACAUAGCCGACCUGAGAGGGGGAUCGGCCACACUGGGACUGAGACACGGCCCAGACGCCUACGGGAGGCAGCAGUAGGGAAUCUUCGGCAAUGGACGGAAGUCUGACCGAGCAACGCCGCGGGAGUGAAGAAGGGUGUCGGAUCGUAAAGCUCGGUUGUAAGAGAAGAACGAGUGUGAGAGUGGAAAGCUCACACUGUGACGGUAUCUUACCAGAAAGGGACGGCUAACUACGUG
rnacentral:rRNA from 1 species